UACGGAGGGGACUAGCGUUGUUCGGAAUUACUGGGCGUAAAGCGCGCGUAGGCGGAUUUGUAAGUCGGGGGUGAAAUCCCGGGGCUCAACCUCGGAACUGCCUUCGAUACUGCAAAUCUCGAGUCCGGAAGAGGUGAGUGGAAUUCCUAGUGUAGAGGUGAAAUUCGUAGAUAUUAGGAAGAACACCGGUGGCGAAGGCGGCCCACUGGUCCGGUACUGACGCUGAGGUGCGAAAGCGUGGGGAGCAAACAGG
rnacentral:rRNA from 1 species